GUUGAGCCUACAUUGCUUCACUGAUUUUUAAUCUCAUUACAAAGGCAAGACUACAUGAAGAUGAUACAAGAAAAGAACGGCCCAAACCAAUCUAACAGAGACCCAAAAGCUNNNCACGCAACAGGCAGCGUGGUGACAGAUCCUUAACACGGUUUUGUGAAAUAAUCUUUUCCUACUUUACGUGAAGCAAUCCAAGAUCGGAAAACUUACAGGGCAGGUGUGGUGACUGUCAUAUCCUAGGCAGAUCUCUUCUUGAAAGCUACAGCUACUUGAUUAUGACCAAUUUCCUUUGAUGGAAUUGGAGAA
rnacentral:misc_RNA from 1 species